GCCUUCUGGGUCAGUUGGUAACGACAUCAUCCUGUCGAGAUGAAAGAACGGGUUCGAUUCCCGUAGGGGGCGCAA
rnacentral:tRNA from 1 species